GGAUGUGAGGGUGAUCUGGCUGUGACAUCCGUCACCUCAUUGAUCGCCAGGGUUGAUUCCACUGAUCUGGCUGGCGAGGGGGGUGUCCCCUUCCUCCCUCGUCACGCCAUUUGUGUCCCUCCUGAAGCCACACACUUGGUCAAAGAGGAUGGUAGAGGAGAGGACCUCCGAUAGAGGAGGACCAUUCUUCAUUGAAGGGUGUAUGAGUAAUGGGGCUCCCAUGCUAGAACCCCCAAACAAGCUCUCAAAAUAAAAAGACACAUUAAUAUUUCAUCUUUUCAGAUGAGGAAAGAAAUUAUCC
rnacentral:snRNA from 1 species